UACGGAGGAUGCAAGCGUUAUCCGGAAUGAUUGGGCGUACAGCGUCCGCAGGUGGCUGUGUAAGUCUGCUGUUAAAGAGUGAGGCUCAACCUCAUAAAAGCAGUGGAAACUACACGGCUAGAGUGCGUUCGGGGCAGAGGGAAUUCCUGGUGUAGCGGUGAAAUGCGUAGAUAUCAGGAAGAACACCGGUGGCGAAAGCGCUCUGCUAGGCCGCAACUGACACUGAGGGACGAAAGCUAGGGGAGCGAAUGGG
rnacentral:rRNA from 1 species